rnacentral:misc_RNA from 1 species
UACUGGCAGGAUCAACCAGGCAACAGUGGAGAACAAGUAUCCUCUUCCUCGGAUCGGCGAGCUCUUCGACCAGCUUCAGGGCGCGCAGUACUUUUCAAAGAUCAACUUGAGGUCAGGAUACCAUCAGCUGCGAGUCAGGGAGCAGGAUGUGCAGAAGACGGCAUUUCGUACUCGCUACGGGCACUACGAGUUCCUUGUCAUGCCGUUUGGGUUGACGAAUGCGCCAGCAGUGUUCAUGGCUCUGAUGAACAAGAUCCUCGCUCAGCACCUCGACAGCUUCACAGUGGUGUUCAUCGACGAUGUCUUGGUUUACUCGAAGUCCAGAGAGGAGCAUGAGCAGCAUUUGAGGACAUCUCUGCAGUUGUUGCGCGACAACGAGCUGUAUGCGAAGCUCAGCA